rnacentral:rRNA from 1 species
CCUACGGGAGGCUGCAGUGGGGAAUAUUGGACAAUGGGCGAAACCUGAUCCAGCCAUGCCGCGUGUGUGAAGAGGUCUUCGGAUUGUAAGCACUUUAAGUUGGGAGGCGUUACCGACAGAAUAAGCACCGGCUAACUCUGUGCCAGCAGCCGCGGUAAUACAGAGGGUGCAAGCGUUAAUCGGAAUUACUGGGCGUAAAGCGCGCGUAGGUGGUUUGUUAAGUUGGAUGUGAAAUCCCCGGGCUCAACCUGGGAACUGCAUCCAAAACUGGCAAGCUAGAGUAUGGUAGAGGGUGGUGGAAUUUCCUGUGUAGCGGUGAGAUGCGUAGAUAUAGGAAGGAACACCAGUGGCGAAGGCGACCACCUGGACUGAACUGACACUGAGGUGCGAAAGCGUGGGGAGCAAACAGGAUUAGAUACCCUUGUAGUC